rnacentral:rRNA from 1 species
GGGACCUGAUGCAGCCAUGCCGCGUGUGUGAAGAAGGCCUUCGGGUUGUAAAGCACUUUCAGUUGUGAGGAAAAGUUAGUAGUUAAUACCUGCUAGCCGUGACGUUAACAACAGAAGAAGCACCGGCUAACUCCGUGCCAGCAGCCGCGGUAAUACGGAGGGUGCGAGCGUUAAUCGGAAUUACUGGGCGUAAAGCGCACGCAGGCGGUUUGUUAAGCUAGAUGUGAAAGCCCCGGGCUCAACCUGGGAUGGUCAUUUAGAACUGGCAGACUAGAGUCUUGGAGAGGGGAGUGGAAUUCCAGGUGUAGCGGUGAAAUGCGUAGAUAUCUGGAGGAACAUCAGUGGCGAAGGCGACUCCCUGGCCAAAGACUGACGCUCAUGUGCGAAAGUGUGGGUAGCGAACAGGAUUAGAUACCCUGGUAGUCCACACCGUAAACGCUGUCUACUAGCUGUUUGUGACUUUAAGYCGUGAGUAGCGAAGCUAACGCGAUAAGUAGACCGCCUGGGGAGUACGGCCGCAAGGUUAAAACUCAAUG